rnacentral:rRNA from 1 species
UAUCAAUAAGCGGAGGAAAAGAAACCAACAGGGAUUGCCUCAGUAACGGCGAGUGAAGCGGCAACAGCUCAAAUUUGAAAUCUGGAGCCUUCGGCUUCCGAGUUGUAAUUUGAAGAGGAUGUUUCGGUGCGACCUGGGCCUAAGUUCCUUGGAACAGGACGUCAUGGAGGGUGAGAAUCCCGUACAUGGCUGCAGGUUUGCUUCUAUGUGAAACUCCUUCGAAGAGUCGAGUUGUUUGGGAAUGCAGCUCAAAAUGGGUGGUAAAUUUCAUCUAAAGCUAAAUAUUGGUGGGAGACCGAUAGCGCACAAGUAGAGUGAUCGAAAGAUGAAAAGCACUUUGAAAAGAGAGUUAAACAGUACGUGAAAUUGUUGAAAGGGAAGCGCUUGCAAUCAGACUCGCCUUCAGUUGAUCAGCCUUCCUUCUGGUUGGUGCACUCUGCUGUUGGCGGGCCAGCAUCAGUUGGGGCGGUGGGACAAAGGCGGCAGGAAUGUGGCUCGCUUCGGUGAGUGUUAUAGCCUGCUGUGUCAUGCCACCAGUCCCGACUGAGGUCCGCGGUUCGCCUAGGAUGCUGGCUUAAUGGUUGUAAGCGACCCGUCUUGAAACACGGACCAAGGAGUCUAACAUCUAUGCGAGUCUUUGGGUGUAAAACCCAUGGGCGAAAUGAAAGUGAACGGAGGUGGGAGUCCUCGGAUGCACCAUCGACCGAUCCUGAUGUUCUCGGAUGGAUUUGAGUAGGAGCAUAGCUGUUGGGACCCGAAAGAUGGUGAACUAUGCCUGAAUAGGGUGAAGCCAGAGGAAACUCUGGUGGAGGCUCGCAGCGGUUCUGACGUGCAAAUCGAUCGUCAAAUUUGGGUAUAGGGGCGAAAGACUAAUCGAACCAUCUAGUAGCUGGUUCCUG